rnacentral:rRNA from 1 species
CAGUAGCCGCGGUAAUACGUAGGGUGCAAGCGUUAAUCGGAAUUACUGGGCGUAAAGCGUGCGCAGGCGGUUAUAUAAGACAGAUGUGAAAUCCCCGGGCUCAACCUGGGAACUGCAUUUGUGACUGUAUAGCUAGAGUACGGCAGAGGGGGAUGGAAUUCCGCGUGUAGCAGUGAAAUGCGUAGAUAUGCGGAGGAACACCGAUGGCGAAGGCAAUCCCCUGGGCCUGUACUGACGCUCAUGCACGAAAUCGUGGGGAGCAAACAGGAUUAGAUACCCCAGUAGUCCCUGUCUCUUAUAC